UGUGCCCUUGAGGCGUGGCUUCCGGAGCUAACGCGUUAAGUCGACCGCCUGGGGAGUACGGCCGCAAGGUUAAAACUCAAAUGAAUUGACGGGGGCCCGCACAAGCGGUGGAGCAUGUGGUUUAAUUCGAUGCAACGCGAAGAACCUUACCUACUCUUGACAUCCAGAGAACUUAGCAGAGAUGCUUUGGUGCCUUCGGGAACUCUGAGACAGGUGCUGCAUGGCUGUCGUCAGCUCGUGUUGUGAAAUGUUGGGUUAAGUCCCGCAACGAGCGCAACCCUUAUCCUUUGUUGCCAGCGGUUAGGCCGGGAACUCAAAGGAGACUGCCAGUGAUAAACUGGAGGAAGGUGGGGAUGACGUCAAGUCAUCAUGGCCCUUACGAGUAGGGCUACACACGUGCUACAAUGGCAUAUACAAAGAGAAGCGACCUCGCGAGAGCAAGCGGACCUCAUAAAGUAUGUCGUAGUCCGGAUUGGAGUCUGCAACUCGACUCCAUGAAGUCGGAAUCGCUAGUAAUCGUGGAUCAGAAUGCCACGGUGAAUACGUUCCCGGGCCUUGUACACACCGCCCGUCACACCAUGGGAGUGGGUUGCAAAAGAAGUAGGUAGCUUAACCUUCGGGAGGGCG
rnacentral:rRNA from 1 species